rnacentral:rRNA from 1 species
GAUGAACGCUGGCGGCGUGCCUAAUACAUGCAAGUCGAGCGAACAGACCAGGAGCUUGCUCCUCUGACUUUAUCGGCGGACGGGUGAGUAACACGUGGAUAACCUACCUAUAAGACUGGGAUAACUUCGGGAAACCGGAGCUACUACCGGAUAACAUGUUGAACCGCAUGGUUCAACAGUGAAAGACGGUCUUGCUGUCACUUAUAGAUGGAUCCGCACCGCAUUAGCUAGUUGGUAAGGUAACGGAUUACCAAGGCAACGAUGCUUAGCCGACCUGAGCGGGUCGACGGCCACACUGGAACUGAGACACAGUCCAGACUCCUACGGGAGGCAGCAGUAGGGAAUCUUCCGCAAUGGGCGAGAGCCUGACGUGGCAACGCCGCGUGAGUGAUGAAGGUCUUCGGAUCGUAAAACGCUGUUAUUAGGAAAGAACAAAUGUGUAAGUAACUAUGCACGUCUUGACGGUACCUAAUCAGAAAGCCACGGCUAACUACGUG